rnacentral:rRNA from 1 species
GACGAACCGUGCGAACGUUAUUCGGAAUCACUGGGCUUAAAGCGCGUGUAGGCGGGACGGCACGUCGGUCGUUGAAAUCCCCCGGCUCAACCGGGGAACGGGCGCCGAUACGACCGCCCUGGAGGGGCGUAGGGGGACCUGGAACUUCCGGUGGAGCGGUGAAAUGCGUAGAGAUCGGAAAGACCACCAACGGCGAAAGCACUCUGCUGGGCCGACACUGACACUGCGAGACGAAAGCUAGGGGAGCGAAUGGG